CAGUUCUGGUGUCAGAAGAGGGAACCAAAGGAGACCCCCAAGGGCCCCCAGGGGCACCGAGCAACCAGAUGUACAUACCUUCUCCUCCACCAGAACAUGAGCCCGGAAGACAGAGGCCUGUAGUGUUCGUCAUUAAUUCCCAGGCAACACCUGGCACAUGGUGGACGUGGGUGACCAAUAGAAUGUAGGUGGAAGUGAUGGGCACUACUGGACCUUGCACAUAAGACCUCUGAGGGGUGGCCCACAUUUUCUUUCCUACCUCCCAAACCAGUGCAGAGGCUCUAUCAGAGGACACCAAGCUGGAAGGGCCUUGCAUCCCUGAGUGACCACAGUGAAGGCUAUCCAUCAACCAGGAACAUCCAUGUUAGACUUUCUUGAACAAGAAAUAAACAUUCGCUGGGCAUGGCUUUUGCCAAGCGGUGCCAUGUCCACACCUGGGAUCCAAACCGGCGAACCCCAGGCCGCCGAGAAGCGGAACAUGCGAACUUAACUGCUGCACCACUGGGCCAGCCCAGCCAUUGAAGUUUUUGAGAUGCAUAAUAGUCUCCAUCACUUUCAGCCCCACCUGGAUGCAGGCCUGCCUCAGGACCCAGCCCAUGUCAGCCUGGCUGGAAGCUGUUUAUUUAUGGCUGCAAAUGUGUGUGUGCAAGAGAGAGGGAGAAUUGAUCUUUGCCUGGACUUAAAGAUGGAGCCGAAGGCGCUGGAGGGAAUUUGGGUUUGUGCGUCUGGCUCAGACCCUGGGCGCCGAACGGGGCCGCUUGGCAUGGAGCCCGAGGUCUUUCUUUGCCGCACCCCUCACCUCGAGACCUUGCAGGAAUCCGCGGGCCCAGGAGCGGCCUGACGGGCCCAUCUGCCCCGGGCCCGGCUGCCGAGAAAGGCUUCGUGGAGGGGGCCAUCCAGUCCCUGUCUUUAAAAUGAGCGCAAUAAAAGGGGGCAAAUCCUCAAACGCGAACCUGAUCGCUUGUCACAGAAGCAACUUGCCAUGAAAUCCGCUAAUGCGCCGCGACUCGCCCACCGGGAUCAGUAACCCCCGGCAUUGGGGUAACCAGCGCGCGCCCAAUGCAGUCGUAUUCCUCGAAUGCGCGCACCGCCCGCCACACUUGGAGAAUCCAGACCACAGAGGUUUCGGAAACCCCAUUUUCCUGAUUGCAGCCCAGACUCUGGAACCCCGCAAGCCUUCCGGGGAAGCGAGCCCAAUCCAGACCAAGCAGACCUCUGGCGCUGCCGGGUUCGUACAACCACUAAAGCAGCGUCAUCUUGAGAGUUAUUUUGGGGAAAAAGACCUGGGACCUGGGUUUGAGUUAAAGACGUUAGAGGCAAGGGACAGAUGGCCCAGCAUUUCUUUGGAACGAGGCAGAACUGAGAACUACCCAGCUGGACCAGCAUUGCCGAAAACUGGAGAUUAGGAAAUGUGUUCUCCUCGCACACACAGUAGCACACAUCUCCUCCGACGGCGAGCUCACCCCUACGCCAGGGGCCUCUGGCUCCGCCGCUGCGUUUCCCAGACGCCCUUUCGGCCUCCUCCAAGUUUUGCCAGGCAAAUGAAACGAGCAGAACUCGAUGGUAAAUUAUUUUGUUCAGCCUUCCGUCUUUUUAUAAAAAUAAAAGGCAACACUUUGUCAUUUUUAAUCAUAUAAGCAGACAAUAAACCUAAUUUCGAUAUU
ensembl:lncRNA